CAACAGGGAUUGCCCCAGUAACGGCGAGUGAAGCGGCAACAGCUCAAAUUUGAAAUCUGGCCCCCAGGGCCCGAGUUGUAAUUUGCAGAGGAUGCUUUGGGCGAGGUGCCUUCCGAGUUCCCUGGAACGGGACGCCAUAGAGGGUGAGAGCCCCGUCUGGUCGGACACCGAGCCUGUGUAAAGCUCCUUCGACGAGUCGAGUAGUUUGGGAAUGCUGCUCAAAAUGGGAGGUAUAUGUCUUCUAAAGCUAAAUAUUGGCCAGAGACCGAUAGCGCACAAGUAGAGUGAUCGAAAGAUGAAAAGCACUUUGAAAAGAGGGUUAAAAAGUACGUGAAAUUGUUGAAAGGGAAGCGCCUAUGACCAGACUUGGGCCCGGUGAAUCAUCCAGCGUUCUCGCUGGUGCACUUUGCCGGGCACAGGCCAGCAUCAGUUUGGCGCGGGGGACAAAGGCUUCGGGAAUGUAGCUCCCUCGGGAGUGUUAUAGCCCGCUGCGCAAUGCCCUGCGCCGGACUGAGGUACGCGCAUCGCAAGGAUGCUGGCGUAAUGGUCAUCAGCGACCCGUCUUGAAACACGGACCAAGGAGUCGUCUUCGUAUGCGAGUGUUCGGGUGUCAAACCCCUACGCGUAAUGAAAGUGAACGCAGGUGAGAGCUUCGGCGCAUCAUCGACCGAUCCUGAUGUUCUCGGAUGGAUUUGAGUAAGAGCAUACGGGGCCGGACCCGAAAGAAGGUGAACUAUGCCUGUAUAGGGUGAAGCCAGAGGAAACUCUGGUGGAGGCUCGCAGCGGUUCUGACGUGCGAAUCGAUCGUCAAAUAUGGGCAUGGGGGCGAAAGACUAAUCGAACCUUCUAGUAGC
rnacentral:rRNA from 1 species